rnacentral:lncRNA from 1 species
UGUUAAUUGUUUAAUUAUCAAAAUAUAGAAGAUGACAUUUUAUGUUCUUUAGGAUAUAAGUAUAUAUUUAAUUAAUUUCGAUGUUCAAUACAUAUCUUUCUAAACUAUUUAAUGUCAAGGUUUGUUACUCAUUACAUGUUUGAUUGAUUUAUAUAAUUGAGGAUGUACUUAAUAGAAAUAUUUAGCUUACAUUAUUUAAUAGAAAUAUCUAAACUAUUUAAUGUCAAGGUUUGUUACUCAUUACAUGUUUGAUUGAUUUAUAUAAUUGAGGAUGUACUUAAUAGAAAUAUUUAGCUUACAUUAUUUAAUAGAAAUCUCUGGUUCAUAAU